GACGAACGCUGGCGGCGUGCUUAACACAUGCAAGUCGUACGGUAAGGCCCUUUCUGGGGUACACGAGUGGCGAACGGGAGAGUAAAACGUGAGUAACCUGCCCACAACUUCGGGAUAACGCUAGGAAAUUGGCGCUAAUACUGGAUAUGUGUUCCUGCUGCAUGGUGGGGGUUGGAAAGCUCCGGGGGUUGGGGAUGGACUCGCGGCCUAUCAGCUUGUUGGUGGGGUAGUGGCCUACCAAGGCGGCGACGGGUAGCCGGCCUGAGAGGGUGACCGGCCACAUUGGGCCUGAGAUACGGCCCAGACUCCUACGGGAGGCAGCAGUGGGGAAUAUUGCACAAUAGGCGCAAGCCUGGUGCAGCAACGCCGCGUGCGGGAUGACGGCCUUCGGGUUGUAAGCCGCUUUCAGCAGGGACGAGGCGUUUUGUGACGGUACCUGCAGAAGAAGCACCGGCUAACUACGUG
rnacentral:rRNA from 1 species